rnacentral:rRNA from 1 species
AUGGCCCCCAAGGCGGAGAAGAAGCCGGUGGCGGAGAAGGCCGAGAAGACCACGGCGGGGAAGAAGACCAAGGCCGAGAAGCGGCCACCAGCGUCCAAGGAGGGCGGCGAGAAGAAGGGGAAGAAGAAGAACAAGAAGAGCGUGGAGACGUACAAGAUCUACAUCUUCAAGGUGCUGAAGCAGGUGCACCCCGACAUCGGCAUCUCCUCCAAGGCCAUGUCCAUCAUGAACUCCUUCAUCAACGACAUCUUCGAGAAGCUCGCCGGCGAGUCCGCCAAGCUGGCGCGCUACAACAAGAAGCCCACCAUCACGUCCAGGGAGAUCCAGACCUCCGUCCGCCUCGUCCUCCCCGGCGAGCUCGCCAAGCACGCCGUCUCUGAGGGGACCAAGGCCGUCACCAAGUUCACCUCCUCUUAG